rnacentral:lncRNA from 12 species
CAUGUAUACACAUGCACCCACACAUACACACACUCACACGCAUAUGUGUGCACACACGCACUCAUGCACAUGCACACACAUGUAUACACAUGCACACACAUACACACACACGGGUUGGUAGCAGCAGGGGACCCACGGUGCUGGGAACGGUUGGGUCUGCUGACACUGUUUCCUGGUCAGUGUGGAGAGCCCAGCGCUGUGUUAGUUCCCUCACAUGUAUUGUCUCUGACCUACGCAGCAAUCCCACAGCAGGAUCUCACAGACGAGGAUGAGGCCGCGCUGCAGAGAUGUGAAGUGACUUGUCUAGGAGUUGUGACACUGCCGCAGUGGAGGAAGCUCAAUGAGGACCAAAGGGAGAUGUGGCACCAACCUUCUCAUCACUGCCCUCGGCCGCCAUGAAAUUCCCUGUGUGUCCCUCCCUGCCGGCCACUAAGCCCGGCGUGUAAGCCUCCAGGCUGUGCUGACGUUCUGCCCAAAGCAGCUUGCCUGCCUGGGCCCCUCCGUCUAUACCAGGACGAUUUCAACCACAAGUAGCAGGGAGGAGAGUGCGGGCUGCAUGUGAACCUGCUGGAUGGGACCUGGGGCAAAGAGGCAGGGCUCUGGAGGACUCCGCGGGGACCCAGAGCCUCCGGGAGCUGAAACUAGAGGGCCUCUUCCCAGCAGCCGGGCACAGCCAGUCCCCUCUGAAGGCCACUUCAACGCAGCAGUGCAAACAAACCCUGCCCUCUGAGAAGGAUGGUAGAGAGCCCCACCUCCCUGCAGAAUGAAAGACUCUACAUCUUUCACUUCUGCUUGAGCAGGGACAAGAUUCAUUAAAGAGAUGAUAAAAAAAAAAAAAAAUCCCCAUCCAAUGCCUUUGACCAAGCAGCCCUCAUGAUAAAAGGCUGCAUCAUGUGUCACUCCCCAAGGGCUGGGGCCUGAUCUUGGCUCGGAGGCCGGCUGCUAAGUCUGCAGCGAGCACAGGCACUUAAUUAUUGGUAAAGGUUCCUGCUCGGGGCUCCCUCUCUGGCAGCCUCACGCCAGCACCUGUGUGCUCAGACCUGGGCCCGGACGUCCCCACAGAUGUCACGGCUCUUUUGUUGGUUUCCUAUUACUGGCACUUAAUAGGCAGGGGCUGGGGCAGCUUUGCUCCACUCUGGGAUGGACAGCAAACAUUGUUCCCGCUGUGGGCAAAGGGUCAAAUGGUUUCUCUCGGCUCUAAAGCCCCGCCAGAUAAUUGCUGGUAAUUAGCAAUUUUAAUUACCAGGUGCGAGGGGUCGGGACCCCCUCUUGUAAUUGGGUAGGCUGUUAACGGUCAUGUAGAUGUGACCAGGGAGAGUAUUUUACCAAUAUGCUCUGGGUCUUUUAAAGUUAAUGAAAGUAAAGCAACUGAAAUCACCAGUGGCAGCCUGGGAUAAAA